AAAGCUUUCCAGAAGGCCACAUUAGUGAAUUCCUAUGCCUUCUCACAGGAGCAGUUGGGACCUUCUGAUCUCAAUAUGCAAAGCAGCUGGUAACAAGUAAAUCAGCAGCUUUCAGGUUGACUGUUAAAGAAGACUUUUUGCAAGGAUGUGACCAUCUAGCAUGGGGCCUACUGAUGGUCAGAGAGUGAUCAUAUGACUUCCUGGGUGAAAGCACCAUAGGCAGAAAUCCUGGGAUCCUCAAGACCUGAGAUAUGGCUUGAGGUUGUGCAGCUACAGGAGAGGUUCCUCUUGGCCACUGUGCUGAUUGACAGAAGAUCGAGAUGGUUCAUGAUGCCUCUGCUGGGUUAUAAACACCAUUCCUUGAAGAAGGAAUAAAUAAAUAAAAUAAAGCUUUCUGAUGCAAAUUAA
rnacentral:lncRNA from 1 species